CUUGAAUAUUCGUCUGUGGCGAGGGAGCAGAUUGUGUGCUGUGUCCCUCUCCGAGCAAAGCAGGCUUUUGUGAGCACGGCGUAAGGCUGUCACAAGGCAGCAGAAGGGUGGAAACCCUCGAACCAGACCCAAUUUUAUGUGCCUGGACGUAAGCCUGGUGUUUUUCAGAUGUGUUGGGGUCACCAGACUGUCCAGAAGGACCUGAGACCUUUCUAGAGCAGCAGCUGGAGGCUAACCCAGACCAGAUUCUCCCACUGAGAGCAUGGGAGCAGCUUCCCAUCUAGCUGCUUGGGCUUGCGCUGCGAAGGACCAAAGAGACGGUGGGAAUGUGCUGGCAGAGCAGGACGUUGAGUUUCAACACAGCUGCCACAAUAGCAGUUUAAUAGCAGCUCUAAAGCGCCCGGCGCUGGUGUUCCUCCCACCCCACUGCCAGCCAGCUGGCUCAGCCCCAUGCCAGAGGAGGCACAAGGAGCACACACACACACACACACACACACACACACACACAUGGCUCCGAGGGCUCCUGGUGACUCCGAUGCCAGUCCCCCGUUGAAGAGGAUGCCAGGCCCCUCGGUGAGCCCACACUGGGCUACUUUUGCCUCUCUGUUUUGCAACGCCUUCGCAAAACAAGCCUGGUACAUGCGGCCAGGAAGGGGGGCAAGGGCUGGAAAGGCUGCAGGGCCCUGCUGAGCCAAUUAGCCGCAGGGUCCCCGAGCUGGAGCUGGGCCACCGGGGAGGGCAAAGAGGGGGCAUCGCGGGGCCAAGCACGGCGUGAGGCUGGCUGACUCCUGCAGCAAGGUCGGGCUCUCUCUGCUCCGUACCCCCCAGGGCUAUUUCAUCCCUCACCCACUGAUUAAUGCAAAAACAACCAUGGGAAAAGGAGCCCAGAUGAUGCUGGAUGCAGCAUCCCAAACAGUAGCUUGCCCAGCCAUCCCACGCCAGCCUGGUGAUGUGCAGAGCCAGCAGAGGAUGAAGGAGGCACUACUUUGUGCCUUGUCUGCUGGGUCCCCCAUGUCCC
rnacentral:lncRNA from 1 species